rnacentral:miRNA from 1 species
GCCACCACAUCCCUCUCUCUCUCUCUCUCUCUCUCUCUCUCUCUCUCUCUCUCUCUCCUACUGCCCAUUGCUGAGAAAAUCCGAAUAUGAGGAAGUGGCCAUGACCCAUAAGCAUAUUCAAUGAUGUGCACGCUUAUGGGAUUUCCUGUGAUUGUAUGAUGAUGUUAAAGUUUUUGGUGUUUCUGUAUGAUGGAUUGGUGAAGAAGAUGACUAGGAGAGAGAGAGAGAGAGAGAGAGAGAGAGAGAGAGAGAGAGAGAGAGACUGUUGUG